AGAGAGAGAGGGAGACACAGAAUCCGAAGGAGGCUCCAGGCUCUGAGCUGUCAGCACAGAGCCCUACAGGGGGCUCGAACUCACGAACCAUGAGAUCAUGACCUGAGCUGAAGUCGGAGGCUUAACUGACUGAGCCACCCAGACACCCCUAGAUAAUUUGUAUAUAUUUUUAAAGUUCAUUUAUUCUGAGAGAGACAGGGAGAGAAUGAGAGGCUGAGGGGCAGAGAGAGAGGGAGAGAGACAGGAUCCCAAGCAGGCUCCUUGUUGUCAGCGUAGAACCCAACAUGGGGCUCAAACUCACAAAACUGUGAGAUCGUGACCUGAGCCGAAAUCAAGAGUCGGACGCUCAACCAACUGAGCCACCCAGGCGUCCUUUGAUAAUUUAUAUUUAAACAGCCACAUGUGGCUAAGUGACUACAUAUGGGACAGUCCAACCUUAGAUGUUUCAUCUCUUAGAGAAAGACUAGAAUCACCCACCCCAGAUUCCCCUAACAUCCUCCCCAGCGUACCUGACUGAGACCUUCGAGCUCCAAACAAUGGGGUCUAAGUGUUACUACUCUCAAGUAUGCUUGAAAACAUACUUGGUUUUCUUUUCCAGAAAAAGAACCUGAGGUAAGGGCAAGAACAAGCACAGUGCUCCACGCAAGAAAGGUAACGCCAUCGCCACGUGGGAAAACACAAACGUUUUACAUCUUUACUGGGGAGUUGUUACAUCCGCAGAACCAUUUUUCCAAAUUUUCGAGCCAAGAUUUAUGCAUUCCAGUGCGUUCAAAGCUUAUCUCCAGCAAAACUUAUUUAUUUCUAGGAGCCCUAUGUGGGACUUGAACUCAAUGAACCGUGAGAUCAUGAUCUGAGCCAAAGUCAGACGCUCAACGGACUGAGCCAUCCAGGUGUCCCCAGUCCAAUUUCUGAGGGAAAAAAAUGUACGAGAAACUCUUCUGAGAGGCCACCUCUGGUGAGUGGGUCACCGGGCUUGGGUGCAAUGACCCUUUUUACCUCACGCCUUUCUGCGUGGGCUCAAGCUUUCUUAAUAAGCACGAAUUAAUGACCCCACCUUUCUUGCCUCCAAUAUUUGAAACAUCUUCCGUGUGUCCCUGCAGCCCAUCCUAGCCUGUGCCUCAGGUACUCCCGUUUCUGUGUCCCUGCUCACCUUUGCUCUUCCUUUUCCUUUGUGCAUUUAAAUCUUGUCCAUCCUUCAAGGGCCAGCUCCAAGGCCAACAAAUCCAUGAGGACUCUCCAAACUUCUCAAAACAAUGCUGCCCUCUUCCUUUUCAGUAUUCCCACGAAAUUACUGAGCACGAAAAUGACAACACACAGGGCUUUGGGGUUUUUUUGCAACGCUGUCUGCACUCAAUUAUUUAAUUGAUGUAAUUUGCAUCACACUGUUGUGUAUUUCAUUUACUUUCCAACCUAUUUUUUUCCAAUUUUUUAUUCUCUAUUUUUUCCAAGUCUCAAGCAUUUCAGAGAAAGCAUGCUCAAAUUUAUUUUGUCCUCCCCACCCCACAUUAUGGUCCAUGUGAGGCACGGCAUUCAACAAAUACUUUUACUUCUUAAAUCAAUCAUAUGUGAAAGCUCCCUCAGGAUCUAUAUGUAUUAAAAAAACAGACCCUUGUCAUUUAUGUUCCUAGGUCCUGGGUCACAUGGCCGACAUUAUAUUUCCUUCAUUUAGGAUGUGCAGAUGGCCUCAAACCCACUUUUUAGAGCCAAUUCACACUUUGUGUGUCUGAAAUUUCCCACUCAAGAGAGCCCCCCCAAAACAGAUCUGAUUUGAUCACAAUUCGGAUAGUAAGCAGAACACUUAUUUCAAUUAGCUAACAGCUUCCUAUCAUCCCCAUAUACAAAAAUAAACCAAAAAAAACAAAACCUGGGCUCAUGAAACAGUAUUUCAGUAACAAGAAUGUAAGAAUACUGAAUCCUAAUUAAAGAAGAGAGAUAUAACAUUGUAAUACCAAUUUUAUCCAGCGUAAGAAAAAUUUUAAGCUUUAUUUUGAUAAAACAUUUCAGAUUCCCUCGUAUCACAGCAUAUCAAUAAGCAAGAUGUACAUGUACUGAUUUUAUCCUACAUGUCAAGCCCCAAAUUCCCAAUCCCAGGUAAGCAAGUUGCAAAAUACAAGUGCCGAUAACUUAACUAUAGGUAGUAUUUUAAAGAAAAGUGAGUGUUCAGCACUUUAAAUUCAAUGAGGCUUUAAUCAAAGAGAGACUUAAUACCACAGGGUGUCUUUUUUGCAACAGUAAUGAAUUCAAUCAAGUCUGUGAUUCCAAGCUCGAGCGACAGUGUUCUGUUUGAGGCAAACAAGCAAAGGCAAUCAACUCUUCGGUGGUAUAUUACAGCACGUACUAUAUAUUUUUGGACAAUUUCAUUCCAUUGUUAGCAUUUGGGAAUCUAAGGAAACAAGAAUUAGAGAAGAGCUCUGACUCCACUUUGGGGAAUGCAAUGUAAUGGCUCUGCCUUGGCACAAAGGUACACUGUAACACUGGUGGUGGUCUUUGAUCAACUUCCCACGGUAAUUGAAUCACCAACAACUAUAACUCUGAUCAAGGAACACACAGAUUUUACCAGAAGAAAAUUCUGUACUUCCAGUUUUAAAAAGCAAACGGUUCUAUGAAGACGCAACCAUUUGAAUUAUCUGAGUAUAUACAUUUAAGUUUUUACAACUUCAUGCCUUAAGUUUUGACUUCCAAAGUAUCAUUUCCUGGACCCAACAUCAAAUAUUUACACGCUAUGUAUUUCACACAAUAUAAUUUUAGAAACCAUAAGUUGCACAAAGUAAUCGUAAAAGUUUUUAUCAAAUUCAUGUUUCCAGUGAUCCUAAAAAAGACAAUUUAUAGUUGUUUUUUUUUUUGUUAUCUAGAAAAUCCUAACUGUAUGUGAAAAAUUAAUCAAAGAAAAUCUGUAACUCUGAUAAUUUUCCACCCUUAAAAGGCAUCGCUAAAAAUAAAUAAAAGGGCUCCUCUGCCAAUGA